rnacentral:lncRNA from 1 species
AACUGGCCACAAUAGACCAAAACUGCGAGUUUUGACGAGUUCCCCGUAACCGGACCCCGGGGUUCCCAAAACAUUCGUAUCGUAGCGACAACCAAAAUCAGUGAGUAAUACCAUACAAAACAGGCCAGAAUAGGCCAAAACAGCGAGUUUUCAUGAUUUCCCAUUAACCUGACCCCAGGGUUCCCAAAAUGUUUGGAUCGCAGCGGGAACCAAAAUCAUUGAGUAAUAGCUUAGAAAACUCGGCAGAAUAACCCAAAACUGCGUGUUUUGACGAGUUCCACGUAACCGGACCCCGGGGUUCCUGAAACAUUCGUAUCGCAGCGGGACCCAAAAUCAGUGAGUAAUAGCAUACAAAACUUGCCACAAUAGGGCAAAACUGUGAUUUUUUCGAGUUCCCCGUAACCGGACCUCGAGGUUCCCGAAACGUUCAAAUCACAACGGGACCCAAAAUCAGUGACUAAUAGCAUACAAAACUGGGGGGAAUAGGUCAAAACUGUGAGUUUUAAUGAGUUCCACGUAAUCGGACCCCGGGGUUCCCGAAACGCUCGGUUCACAGCGGGACCCAAAAUCAGUGAGUAAUAGCAUACAAAACUGGCCACAAUAGACCAAAACUGCGAGUUUUGACGAGUUCCCCGUAACCGGACCCCGGGGUUCCCGAAAUGUUUGGAUCGCAGCGGCAACCAAAAUCAGUGAGUAAUAGCAUAC